rnacentral:rRNA from 1 species
ACGGGGGCCCGCACAAGCGGUGGAGCAUGUGGUUUAAUUCGAAGCAACGCGAAGAACCUUACCAGGUCUUGACAUCCCGAUGCUAUUUCUAGAGAUAGAAAGUUACUUCGGUACAUCGGUGACAGGUGGUGCAUGGUUGUCGUCAGCUCGUGUCGUGAGAUGUUGGGUUAAGUCCCGCAACGAGCGCAACCCUCGUUCCAUGUUGCCAGCACGUAAUGGUGGGGACUCAUGGGAGACUGCCGGGGUCAACUCGGAGGAAGGUGAGGACGACGUCAAAUCAUCAUGCCCCUUACGUCUUGGGCUUCACGCAUGCUACAAUGGCCGG